AUACUCAACACCCACAACUCUAAGGAGGAAAGUUUUAUUUUGGGUCAAUUUGUAGAGACUUCAGUCCAUACUUGACUGGUUCCAGGGCAGAGGAGCAAGGCAGAAGAGAAACAGCACAUGGCUGGGCAGACAGGGAGCAGACAGUGAUCAAGGGAGGAGGGAAGGAGCUAGAUCUUUCCAGGCCACACCUCCAGUGAUCCACCUCCUCCAACUAGGCUUCAUCCUUUAAAUCAUAUUUAGCUAUAAACUCAUCAGUGGACUGAUCCACUGAUGAUUAUCACACCCUCAGGGCCCACCUAUGAGUGCAUGAGGUUUUAGGGGUACAUCUAGAUAUAAACCUCCCUGCUCCCACCACAGCACAGGCACCAGACCUGGACUGAGCCCAUCUGAACCUCUCACCUGCGGUUCAGAGCUAUUGAAAAUGGAAUGAAUGUAGCACAGCAGAAUACACAGAGAAGUGCCCAGAAGUGGCCUCAGAAGCAACAGAAUAAUUAUGCUUCCCAUUCUUGGCUUCCAGACUGCUUUGGUUCUUAUCCAUCUUCCAAAACCAGUCCUCCAAUUUCUUGUGAAUCAAUCAUCUCCUAAUAGUCUUCUAAACAUUUUCUUUUUUCCUUCUAACAUUUCAUUUUCAUUACUUGUCAUUGAAACCUUUGUAACUGAUAUGGAAGUUUGUGCUAGGUGUGAGUAUGGUAAAUGAGAAGUAGGGAAGUAAUGAAGAUCCAUGAUUAGUUAUGCACUGAUGUUCUGAAUAGCCCACCCAUGCAGUACAUUAGCUAACCAGAAGUUACCCAGGGCAGCAUGUCAUUAAACGCUAGCUCUGGAAACAGCACUACUCCAAUCCUGAAGCUGUAUGGAUAUGAGAAAUCCAAGGCCUCAGAUGGGUGGGGCUUUUUUGGUGGUGGUGGGGCUAUUGGGGACUGAACCCUGAACCUUCACACUGAGCUACAUCCUAUUCCUUUUUUAAAAAUUAAGACGGGCCGGGGAUUUAGCUCAGUGGUUCCGCUCCCUGCCUCACAAGUGCAAGGACCCAAGUUCAAUCCCCAUACCAAAAAAAAAAAAAAUUGAGUCAGGGUCUCACACUAAGUUGCCCAGGCUAAUCUUGAACUUGCAAUCCUCUUUCUCAGCCUCCAGAGUGCUGGGAUUACAGGUGUGUGCUACCAGAUCUGGCUACAUGGCUAUUUUGAAUGACACUGAACAAGUCAGACAUGAGAAUAACAUGCUAAAAUACCUCAAUUCUCAAUUCAAGCCAGAGGCUGAAACCUAAAGACUUCAACCAUGCUGAAUUUCAUGUAUUAGAGACACAAAACCAAGAUACCUGAAAAUCCAACUUCAGAGUUGGAACCUCCAAUCUGUUAAGUGACAAUAGAUGAAUCUGCAGUCCCAAGUUUCCUAGCUGAAAGGUUGAGUAUUCACUGGAUGUCAAGGCCAUCCAGAACUCUGCUCAUGCACCAACCUGUUUCCACUGCUUCCCUGGGGCUGGCCAACAGGCUCACGGGUCAGGCCCAGGGCUCAUGCUUAGCCCAGCAGUCACUGCUGCACCAUCCUCUCUACAUCUAACCUUCCUUUCCAGAGCCUGCUCAGCUCUUCUUGUCCAAUGAGCCUUCUCUGCCUACUCAGAGGUACCAAUCUGCCUCUGAGCUCUUGUAGCAUUUAUUCUCUAUUCUAUUUUAAUGUGAUAAUGACAACUACUACUACUUUGUACAGGGGAAGAGACAUGACUUAGAAACCUGAGUGUUAAGCAUUCAUUCUACCGUUUCGUUCAUUCUACUGUUUGCUGUCCACCACUUGGAGUUACCUGAGCCAUCUGGAUUGGUACCACCUCAUCUUUAAAGUGAAGAUGACAGUACAUGUAUUGUCCUUUUCACAAUGGCCUGAGGUCAUAUCUGAGACUUUUUUUUUUUUCUUUGGUACCGGGGAUAGAACUUGAGAUCUUGUGCUUGCAAGGUAGGCAGUGGAAUCACUGAGCUAAAUCCCCGGCCCCUGAGACUUUUUUUUCAACAACUAUACAGCCUUGCCCAGGCAUGGUGGGACAUGCCUGUAAUCUCUGCAUUCUGGGAAGCUGAGACAUGAGGAUCACAAGUUUGACCCUAGCUGGGCAACUUAAUGACUUAGUGAGAUACUGUCUCAAAAUAAAAAUUAAAAAUUAAAAAAAGGUUGAAGAUACAGCUCAGUACGAAGGUCCUGGGUUCAAUCCAAGAGAGGGGGAGAAGGAAAUGGGGGAGGUGGGGCGCGGGGACAGAAUACAAACAGAUAGGCUUACAAACCGGCCAGAAAGGGAAAAUAUAUCAAAACAAACAUAGCAGAAAAAAACUUAUGCUACAAUUAAUAGAUAAUAAAUGCUACAUGAACUGUAAAUACUGUUGGGUCACACAAGUUCUGUAUAAGCAGAAAUCACUAAAAAGUCUGAACACCUGAGGAUCACUGUAGUUAGGACAUGUGUUAGGGGGAUGAGUGGAAUUUAAAUAAAUAUGUACAGGGAGCAUCCUAAACAGGGAGAGGGACAAGCAAAGAUACAAACUGGGAAGCAAACGUCAUGGUCAGGCCAGAAAGAGCACAGCAGCUGGGCAGACAGGCUGGUAAGAAGGCAGAAGUAGCUUGUGAAGCAUCAAACUUCAGAGUAGCAGGGUUGUAGAUCACCUAGUAACUCUGGUUAAACAAAACUGGAACAAAAGCAGGCUAAAUAAAGAGCAAAGAUUCUGGCAAUGAUUAGAACCCUGUGAUCUCAAUAGCAUGUCUCUGGCUCCACCCAAUUGCUUCCUUCUGGUAGACGUCCUUGCCCCAAAUACAGGAGGUUCUCUUUCUAGGGCUGUUGUUUCACAUCUCUGGGCAAAGAGCCAAAAGCAC
rnacentral:lncRNA from 1 species